GAUGAACGCUGGCGGCGUGCCUAAUACAUGCAAGUCGAGCGAACAGACGAGGAGCUUGCUCCUCUGACGUUAGCGGCGGACGGGUGAGUAACACGUGGAUAACCUACCUAUAAGACUGGGAUAACUUCGGGAAACCGGAGCUAAUACCGGAUAAUAUAUUGAGCCGCAUGGUUCAAUAGUGAAAGACGGUUUUGCUGUCACUUAUAGAUGGAUCCGCGCCGCAUUAGCUAGUUGGUAAGGUAACGGCUUACCAAGGCGACGAUGCGUAGCCGACCUGAGAGGGUGAUCGGCCACACUGGAACUGAGACACGGUCCAGACUCCUACGGGAGGCAGCAGUAGGGAAUCUUCCGCAAUGGGCGAAAGCCUGACGGAGCAACGCCGCGUGAGUGAUGAAGGUCUUCGGAUCGUAAAACUCUGUUAUUAGGGAAGAACAAAUGUGUAAGUAACUAUGCACGUCUUGACGGUACCUAAUCAGAAAGCCACGGCUAACUACGU
rnacentral:rRNA from 1 species